GAGCUCGUAAUUCAGUUGGAUAGAAUAGAAGCCUUCUAAGCUUCCUGUCGUGCGUUCAAGUCGCACCGAGCUCA
rnacentral:tRNA from 3 species